UGUCACUUCUGAUCUCUAGUAUGAGACAGUAAUCACAAAUUUGCAUGUGAUUCCCGCUGACCUGUGAACUCCUGGAUGGGAAAGAUUUUGAUCCUCAUGGAAAUUAUGCAAAAGCAAAGCCCAACAGAACAUCAGACAUAUGGCGUUAUUUGUUUGUUUUUUGGUGAACAUUUUGUUCCACCACAUACUCCCGCCAUGAAGAACUCCCCUGCUGCAGACCCAAAAGUAAUGCGAUCAACUGAGUAUGGACUGAAAUCUCCAAAACUGAGAUGAGCAAUUUCAAGAGAAAAGAGCUUCCUGUGGUAUCUUAGAAGAUUCUAAACAAGGCAAAAUUGAAGAUGAACUUUAAAGAAUCAGAAGAAUUUUGGAGACAGAGAUAAGCAGGAGUAAACCUCAGGGAGGAUGCACCAUAAAGAGACAAAAUAAAAGUUCCUUCUGGUUCCUAAGGAUCCAAAGUGCCCAAAGUGAGAAGAAGCAACUUCAAGAGACUGACAGAUCAACAGAAAGCCCCAGCUUUCAAGUUAAGAAUGUUACCAACAGAGGAGGAGGUUCUCUAAGGCACACGUAAGUUUUUCCUGGCCUUCAGUCUGUUCAUUUUCCCCACCAAGAAGGAAAGGC
rnacentral:lncRNA from 1 species